ACUGAGGUGGUAAUAUGUGGCUCCCCAAAGUUUAUUCUAUACAUGGAGUUUCAUAGCUUUGUGAUGUUAAAGUUCCUGUUCACAUUGUUUUACUAAGACUGCAAUAUCCACAGUAUCUUUUUAAAAUCUGAAUUUACAUUGGGAGUUUAGAAAUUUUAUCUUCCACGACCAUUCACUGAUUUUUUUCAUAAUUCCCGUUACAGAUUUUGUUUUCAGACUCAGAAGAGGCUCCAGGACGUCAACAUCUGCUAUGGAAACUGGAUGCUAUAGAGAAUGCACAGAACUAUAUGCACCCCUUGUGGUAGAAGACCACAAUGACUCUGGCAGUGAAGAGGACCGCAGUGAUGCUCAAAGUAUUGCUGAGUAAGAAAAUUCUUCGUAAAGACAGCUGUUUUUUCUGUUGUGUUAUUUUGUCAUUAACUAACAGGACUAUUAUUCACCCUCUGGCAGGGUGGUAAAGCCGUCGGUAUCAGAGAUCAUCACAAACCUGAGACUGCAGAUCAAUCUCCACGCUGUCAGCAGAUUUAACAUCUGCCGCUCCAACUUUUGGGAUGGCGCAGUGAGAGGUUUCAAAAGGGGGACAUUCUCUGAAGCUAAUGACCUCCUUGUGAAGUUCUCUGAUGAUGAUGGUAGAUUUGAGGAAGGUCUAGAUACAGGGGGUCCAAAAAGAGAAUUCCUCUCCCUUCUGAUGAAAAGUCUGAACAAACGACCAAUAUUUGAUGGUCCUGAAGACAGGAGGUGUCUUGUCUACAAUUCCACAGGUAUAGUUUUGUGGUGACUCUUUCAGAAGAAACAGGACAUCAGUAGUGCAGGGUUUAUGUGUGGAAAGCAAUUUAAAAUGUUCCUUUUUUUGAGCAGCAAUCAGAGAGGAUGAAUAUAGAUUGGCAGGAAAGAUGGUUGCCACAUCUAUUGUACAUGGCGGACAUGGUCCUAGCUUUCUGUCAAGGGACUUGGUCAACUGCAUCUCAGGGCAAUCGAGUUUCAAUCCAUCUAUUGGAGACAUCACAGAUGGAGAAAUAGGGAAAGUGCUACAUAUGAGGGUCAUCAAUCAGAUUCUUAUCAUUUUGGAGUAAAGAAAAUUUUGGAAAGGUAGCAGGUUUGUCUCCUUACUAUUGUUUAUCACAACUCUGUGGUAUCUUGUACGACUACUCGAACCUAAAAUGAUCAACACACAUUCCACUUUUAGAUUGAAGAUGCAUCAGCAUUAGACAUACUGCAGGACCUGAUUUUCAACCAUACCACCAUGUUGCAGACAGCAGGGUCUUUGAAACGUGUUCUCAGUAGAGGAAAAACACGUCAUUGUGAAAGACUACCUUAAGUGGUACAUAAUUGACAGGAACUGCACAGCAAUUCAAAGGUAGGCUAUCUUAUUUAAAUUCUAGU